UAGAGCGCCUUUCAAGCCUGGACAGAGCACGCCGACCGCCCCCUCCACGACGCGAAUUGAUCUCGAGUGACUUCGACUUUCUGAGCGUAGUUUUGCCUGGUGCCGCUGUGCAGGCUGGGCUAUGAUGGCAGCCCACGAGAUCACCAGCAGACAGUGCAGAUAGCAUAAUUGUGAGCCAGUUGGCUUCUGUUUUGUUAAAAAAGCAAAACACCCGCCAGAGGCAAGAUGGCGCACCAACUGGAGCAGCUCCUCACCUGCUGCAUCUGCCUGGACAGGUUCCGGAACCCGAAGCUGCUGCCAUGCCAGCACUCGGUGUGCAUGGAACCUUGCAUGGAGGGCCUCGUCGACUACGUGCGUCGACAGGUCAAGUGCCCAGAGUGCCGAGCCGAGCACAGGAUCCCCUACAACGGGGUCCAGGGCUUCCCCUCCAACGUCACCUUGCAGAGAUUCCUUGAAGCGCACAUCGAGAUCACUGGCGAGGCGCCGGACCCACAUACGGGCCAGUACAUGGAACGAUGUAAUGUAUGUAACGAAAAGAAUUACCUGUCAGUGUGUGCCCAUUGCGAAAAGAAAAUAUGUGUCGACUGUAAGGCCGCUCAUCUGGACAUUCUCAAACGAGAAAUCGGCCGUAUCAACAAUCAGGUCAAAAGGGCGGCCCACCGGCUAAACGACCAACUCGCCAAUGUGGAAAGGAACAUCUCGGCCCUCAAGCAGAACACAGGGAGCGUCUCGGAUGAAAUCGAAAACAUUUGUGUUCGUCUCCAGAAAUCCCUUCGAGAUAGAUGUGAUUUUCUCAAGACAGAGCUUGAAAACUACUUCCAAUCUGAGCUCCGCAACCUGACGAUCCUGAAGGAGGGCCUCGACCAGGAGGUGUCCAACAUCGGCUCCAACAUCGAACUCGCCGAGAAACACAUGGACGACGACACGCCAUGGGACGACACCGAGCUCAUGGACGCAAAAGACAUUUUCCUCAAGACGAUGGAAUUCAUACGAAGCUUCGAUUACGAAGCCGGAGAUUACAGCAGGAGAGCGAGGUUCAACCCGCCCGAUGACCUCAAUAAGUUGUCGACGCAGCUGAGCACCCUGGGAGACAUCUCCUUCAACACCCCCAACAAGAUGAACGACGGCUACUCCUCCGGGCCCUGCAUGGGGUCGGGUCUGAUGAAGAGCAAGAGCGACCACCGCCUCGCAGCGCAGUACCGAGACCAAGACGAUAGCUACGGCGGUUACACCACAGGCAGGACCUCGCCGCUUAUGCGCAGACGCUUCGGGGAGAGGAACGUCGAAAGGCACGACGAGGAUUCCCCGGCUGAAUCUGGGCGGCGGCGGUUCCGCUCGCGCUUCAUGCGCAAAGAAGAAGACGAGGAGCGUUCGGUUCGCUUCUCCGAGGAGGACGGACCAAAACGAAACCGCGUGAUCGACACCGAGGACGUCUCCCGCGGCCCCCUGUCGGGCAUCGUCAGGAUCACCGACUCGCCGCGGGUCAUGAAGCGCUUCCAGGAACGCGAGAUGAACAAGAACAAGAAGAAGGAAGAGCCAGCCAAGCCAGCACAAAACACGGCGCCAAAACCCCCAGUCACUCCCCUGCAGCGCAAGCCAGCGCGCCAAACCAGCAACGAGGAUGAGAUCGACAAGAUCAAGAAGCAGAACAAGGCAGCCGAGUCCACUUCCGGGGGCGCCACCGCUGCCACCCCCUCCAGCGCCUCCGCCCCCAGCACCCCCACCACGCCCAAGCCCGCAGGCGAGCGCGUGUCUUCCAUCCGCGAAGACGAGCGCCAGAGCCGAAGCGACCGCACUUCCACGUCCCCGAGGUCGUCGGCAAACCACUCGCCCUCCUCCUCCGUCACCCGCGAGGACGACCAGAGUCGCCGCCGCGAUUACAGCGCCUCGGGCGCGAAUGGCUCGACGCCGUCCCGGAAGACGAGCGUCGAUACGAGCGUGACACAUCGCUCGUAUCCUUUCAGCCGCUCGUCCUCCAACUCCUCCAUCGGAGACAAAGCGAGUGGCAACAGGAGCCCCCGCACGCUCGACACCGCCACCUACGAGCGCAAGCUGUCUCGUUCCAACAGCACUGACAGCAAUUCAGGCGACGGAGCCGCGUCCCCGAAGAAGAACACGGGCGCCGCCUUCUCGACGGAGGAGCUUCGGAACCGCUUCACGAGGACGGACUCGAAGCCGUCCACGUCGAAGGCCGAAGCCUCCCGCUCGUCGGGUGCAGGCGGGGCGUCGCGCUUCUCAUCGCGUUUUUUAGGCCGAGCCGGUACUCCCUCAGUGGAGGCCUCGAAGGAAUCAGGGAAUGAGGAUGACGACGACGACGAGGAGGAGAGCAGCGACGAUUCCGAGUCCGAAGAGAGUGAAGAGUCGUCCGAGGAGGAGGAGGAGGAGGAGGCAACAUCCGAGUACUCUCGCCCGGACGUUGGGCCCUUGCUGGGGCGGAGUGCCCAGGCUCGCGACGUAGCCGGUAGUUCUAGUUCUAGGAAUAACUGGAGCGACAGGAGCUCCUACACCUCUGUUCCUCCGAGUGGAGGCGACUCAGGUUAUUCAAGCAGCAGCAGGUACGGCAGCAGCAGCGACAACAGCAACGGCAGUACCUCCUCCAGCAGGUAUGGGGCUUCGGCCUCUAGCAGCAGCACCGACUCUGGGCUGGGAAGUCACAGACGUCCCUCCUACAUGGAAACCAAGGCUCCUUCCAAGGAAAAGGAUGACGACUUCGAUUCCAAGUAUCCUUUCGCCAGCAAGAUCCUGAGCCGCUCUCGAGCCAACGUGCCCGAAGAGGAGUCCAAACACCCCUUCCAGAGUCGUUUCUUGAACCGCUCCAAAAGCUCGGCCGUCUUGGGCCCCGACGACGAAGACUCAUCGUCGUCCCCCUCGCACGGUAGCAGCCGAGCUCGCUUUGAAGAACUGAAGGAGCGCAGACAGCGGCUAGCGAGAAGCAAGAGUUCGGCGGGACUAGAAGAUGACGAGACAUCCUCAGCUGAUACGUCUUCCGCCUCCGCCUACCGCCCGCGCUACGGACGCACCGAACCCGAGACGUCGACGACAUCCCGCACGUCCGCAUCGACCUCAGGAGCGUCUGGCGGCAGCGAUGAAGGUGGAUCCUCAUCCACACAGCUCUCCAACUGGGCCCGGUACCUGAAGAACAAGUAUGGCAACAGGUCUGGCAGCGGGGAGAGCAGCACCCCCUCCUCCGGGAGAAACACCAGCAUAGGCCUAGGCAGCAGCAGCAGCGGGCUAGGCAGCAGCACCAGUUCCAGCAGUGGUGCCAGCAGUUCACUUGGUAGUUCACGCACAGGCACGGGAUCCGCGUUGGGCGGCAGAGCCAUCUCGCGGUCCCGUUCCUCACACCUUCUUGGCCUCGCCAAAGAGGGAGAAUCUUCUGAAGACGAUUCAAAAAACGUGCACGCUACCCCUACUUCCCCACAAGCAGAUAUACUGGUUCCUACACAGUUCGGAAGUUUACAUAGGAGUCAGUACCUGCAGAAGCAGCGCCUCUUACUUAAGAUCGGGAGUAGGGGUAGUGAACCAGGAAGUUUUACAUGGCCAAGAGGCAUAGCUGUUGGACCUGACAACAGCAUAGUGGUUGCCGAUUCGAGCAACCACCGCGUGCAGGUGUUUGACCAGCACGGCAAGUUUGUUAAGGAGUUUGGCUCCUACGGGAGUGCAGAAGGAGAGUUUGACUGCCUGGCAGGUGUGGCAGUCAACAGGAUCGGUCAGUUCAUCAUUGCCGAUCGCUACAAUCACAGAAUUCAAAUCUUCGAUCCGUCCGGCAUGUUCCUGCGCGCCUUUGGAAGCCAAGGCAGCGGCGAUGGGCGGUUCUCUUAUCCUUGGGGCGUGACCACGGACGCCCUUGGCUUCAUCUACGUGUGCGACAAGGAGAACCACCGCGUGCAGGUGUUCCAGUCCGACGGUUCCUUCGUCGGCAAAUUCGGUUCCAUGGGUAACAAACCAGCCCAGCUCGAGCACCCUCACUACAUCGCCGUGUCCUCCACCAAUCGGGUCAUCGUGUCCGACUCCAACAACCACAGGAUACAAGUGUUCGACAUCAACGGCAAAGUCACCAACACCUUCGGAACAGAAGGCAGCUCUGAAGGACAGUUCAAGUUCCCAAGGGGCGUGGCCGUGGACGACCAAGGCUACAUCUUCGUGGCGGACAGCGGCAACAACCGCAUCCAGAUCUUCCACCCCGACGGCGCCUUCCUCAGGGCCUUCGGCUGCUGGGGAUCCGGCGAGGGAGAGUUCAAGGGCCUGGAAGGUGUGGCCGUCAUGUCCAACGGCAACAUCCUGGUGUGCGACCGCGAGAACCACCGAGUGCAGGUCUUCUGAGAAGGCAAUUUCAUGACCUCCCUGGCCAACUCCAUGACUGUCCAUGACUUCAACCAUCGCUACUACUGAGCAUGUCGUGACAUUAGCUCAGGUCACAAUACAAUUUUGGAGACAGGGAGUGUCGCACCACGCCAGCCAAUGGGAACCAGCCUCCCCACCGCCAGCCAAUAAGAAAAGAAAGGACUCUACCAUCACUGUCCAAUGGGGAAAGGUCUCAUCAUCCUCAGCCAAUAGGAAAAAGCCUUCACCGCCAGCCAAUGGGAGAAGAGGAACAGCGACUAUCGCCUGGAAUGUGGAUAAGCCUUUCUUCUGUCAGCCAAUCAGAACAGAAAGAAAUGGAAAACUUGUCCAUGACGUGUUAAAUAUAUUUAUAAUCAUGUUUAUAAUCACGCCAAUAAACCAGAUCAGUGUAGUCAUUCAAAUUAGCACGAAAAAAAAAAUAAUAAUAGUUUGUCACUUUGUUCUGUAGAAACGCACACGUAAUUACGACGAUGAUGAAGAUUAAUUAAUAAUAACAACUCUCACAUUAAUUCUCAAAUAUAAAAACAAACUUGCUCUUUGGUCAAAUUCCCGCUCGAAUGAAUCAGGUUGAGCGGAUUUUCGCUUCAAAUCCGCCAGAACCUCCCGCAGGAGAGCAAAUUUAGCUCCAGGUGGAACGCACCGGGAGCCAUUUUCAGGGUGCGAGCGGUAGCGAGUGUGGGACCAAGGGCGGGAUCUGUCUCACAGCUUGGGAACGAUCGUAGCAUUUCAUUCCAAAUGCCAUUAUAUAUUAUACGUAUAUGAUAAUGCCCAAUUUACGAUGAAGGUGAACAAGGUAGUUCCAGCUCUGCGUCAGCCUCUCCCGCUCGGUCCCAUGUUGAUUACCUGCUACAUAUUGUGAUCGCUAGGUUACAGUGCGUCUGUGUGUAGUGUUGUGUACAUUAGAAUUUACUAUAAUCUGUUUGUACAUUUGCAUAAGUGCAGUUUUUAUGAAUAUAUGGAGUCAACAACGCUGAAAUAUUUUUUUUUUGUUUCUUUUUUUUUGCAAACUUGGUGAAGAAAGAUUUUUGUAGAUCAGAGAGGUGCCAAAAUUUUGAAUGUGUGGAAACUUAAAUCCUCUGUACUUUGUGUUAUUUUCUCUUUCUUUCUCAUCUACGGCCAAUUAGCCGACGAAGUAUUGUUUUAUUUAAGUAUUGAUUUGCCUAUUUAUUUAUUCACUUAUUUCAGUCACUCGUGAUCAAAUAUUCUUUUCCUAAAGAACACUGACUGAAUACUUGUAUAUUUUUGCUUCUUUUUUUUAAUUUUCAAUUGUGACAUAUUUUUAUUUUGUAAUUACUGGUAUUCAUCACAGUAUCUUGGACUUAGUUGAUUAACCUCUUUACCACUCAUAGAUGCAUGCAGUCGUUUGCUUUGUUAGAAUACUGUUAAUUAUAAUACUGUCCAUUAACUCAUUGUAUCACACUAAGUUGCCUUAAUCACAGCUAUUUGAAUUGCUUCAGUAAUGUCUGUAUGAUAAAAAUAUAAAAAAAGUCUUUGGAAGUCAAAAUAUACAUGUACAAUAUGAACACUUUAGUAUAAUGUAAUCAAUAUUUAUACAAAGAUAUCAUAUGUAAUAUUAAUGUUGAAUACAUAUCGUGGUUUGUAGAUCUAAUAAACAUUUUUUUUCUCUCUUUUCAUAUUUCUGUAAUUUUUAAGUUGCAUGAGCAUCGAGGCAUUUGUUAAAGGAACUUUUCACGUUGAGGAAACUGUGUAAAUAUGACAGGAUUUUGUCUAGAAGAUUGUCUAAAACUGUCUAGAUUGAGAUUGUCUAGAUUCAUUGCAAGACAAUCCUUCGUCACAUUUUAAGAUCGCACAGGCUGAUGGCUUGUUUUUUUUUCACUUUUUUUCUCUCGCAACGAUGAGACUUUUUUGACCAAAGGCUAAAGACACACGGGGCAUCCAGCCGCGCCUUGGAAAAGAGAAGGAGAACGGAGGAAAGAGAGAGUGGAGGAUAAAGGAGAGGGAGAAGGGAAACAGAGAUGAGGUGAGGGGAAGACAAGAAGAGGGAAGAUGUUGCUUGCACACGAUGCACCAUGGCAAGGUUGAGAGCUGAGUGUCACGUGUGUCUUCAGAGUUUCGGUCAUUCAUUACCUGUCAACCAAUCAAAGGUGUUGUCAAACUGUCAAUUUUCUUUUUGUUCCUUGAAUGAAAGAUUUCCAGUCUCCUCCUCUGGUCACACUUUCCUAGAAGUUGAGAAUUAAACGGAUCAGUCGAG
rnacentral:misc_RNA from 1 species